rnacentral:rRNA from 1 species
UACCAGCACCCGAGUGGUCGGGACGUUUAUUGGGCCUAAAGCAUCCGUAGCUGGCUGGGCAAGUCCCCUGUUAAAUCCACCGAUUUAAUCGUUGGUGUGCGGGGGAUACUGUUCGGCUAGGGGACGGGAGAGGCCGACGGUAUUUUCGGGGUAGGGUGAAAUCCUAUAAUCCCGGGAAGACCACCAGUGGCGAAGGCUGUCGGCUAGAACGCGCCCGACGGUGAGGGAUGAAAGCUGGGGGAGCGAACCGGAUUAGAUACCCGGGUAGUCCCAGCUGUAAACGAUGCAGGCUAGGUGUUUGGGCGGCCACGUGCCGCUCUAGUGCCGCAGAGAAGUCGUUAAGCCUGCCGCCUGGGGAUACGGCCGCAAGGCUGAAACUUAAGGAAUUGGCGGGGAGCACCACAAGGGGUGAAGCUUGCGGUUU